rnacentral:rRNA from 1 species
AUCCUUUAAAGAGUGCGUAACAGCUCACUAGUCGAAUGACUCUGCGCCGAUAAUUUACCGGGGCUAAGCAUACUACCGAAGCUAUGGAUCCCAAGGGAUGGUAGGGGAGCGUUCCAUGAACGGAGAAGUACGACCGAAAGGACGUGUGGAGAUCAUGGAAGAGAGAAUGCCGGUGUGAGUAGCGGAACGUGGGUGAGAAUCCCACGCACCGAAAACCCAAGGUUUCCAGAGGAAGGUUCGUCCGCUCUGGGUAAGUCGGGACCUAAGGCGAGGCCGAAAGGCGUAGUCGAUGGACAACAGGUAGAGAUUCCUGUACCCGUAUAUAUGUGAAGGAAUGACGGAGAGAGGAAGCUGCAGCCAGCGGCUGGAAGAGCUGGUGCAAGCGAGAUAUCGGGAUGGCAGGCAAAUCCACCAUCCGAAACGAGAAGGCGUGAAGCGUACGGAAAGCUACGGCGAGUACGGAAGGCAGUGGAGGAACUUCCAAGAAAAGUUUCUAACGUUAAGUAUAUAUGGCCCGUACCGAAAAUGGACACACAUGGGUGAGGAGAGAAUCCUAAGGUGAGCGAGAGAACUAUAGCUAAGGAACUCUGCAAAAUGACUCCGUAACUUAGGGAGAAGGAGUGCUCAUAGAGAUAUGAGCCGCAGUGAAACGGCCCAAGCGACUGUUUACCAAAAACACAGCUCUCUGCUAAGCCGCAAGGCGAAGUAUAGGGGGUGACGCCUGCCCGGUGCUGGAAGGUUAAGGGGAGGGGUUAACGCAAGUGAAGCCCUGAACUGAAGCCCCAGUAAACGGCGGCCGUAACUAUAACGGUCCUAAGGUAGCGAAAUUCCUUGUCAGGUAAGUUCUGACCCGCACGAAAGGCGUAACGAUUUGGGCGCUGUCUCAGCUGUAGACUCGGUGAAGUCUUAGUACCUGUGAAGAUGCAGGUUACCCGCGACUAGACGGAAAGACCCCAUGGAGCUUCACUGCAGGUUGAUAUUGGGAUUUGAUGCAGCAUGUACAGGAUAGGUAGGAGGCAAAGAGAUGGAUACGCCAGUAUUCAAGGAGCCGCUGUUGGGAUACUACCCCUGUUGUAUUGGAUUUCUAACCGGACGACGUAGAGCCGUUGACGGGACAGUGUCAGUCGGGCAGUUUGACUGGGGCGGUCGCCUCCCAAAGAGUAACGGAGGCGCCCAAAGAUACCCUCAGCUUGGAUGGAAACCAAGCGCAGAGUGCAAAGGCAAAAGGGUGUUUGACUGCGAGACCCACAAGUCGAGCAGGGACGAAAGUCGGGCUUAGUGAUCCGGCGGUGCUGAAUGGAAAGGCCGUCGCUCAACGGAUAAAAGCUACCCUGGGGAUAACAGGCUGAUCUCCCCCAAGAGUUCACAUCGACGGGGAGGUUUGGCACCUCGAUGUCGGCUCAUCGCAUCCUGGAGCUGAAGUCGGUUCCAAGGGUUGGGCUGUUCGCCCAUUAAAGCGGUACGCGAGCUGGGUUCAGAACGUCGUGAGACAGUUCGGUCCCUAUCUGUCGUGGGCGCAGGAAAUUUGAGAAGAGCUGUCCUCAGUACGAGAGGACCGGGAUGGACGCAUCAAUGGUGGACCAGUUGUCACGCCAGUGGCAUAGCUGGGUAGCUAAAUGCGGAAGGGAUAAACGCUGAAGGCAUCUAAGUGUGAAACCCACUUCAAGAUGAGAUUUCCCAUUGCGCAAGCAAGUAAGACCCCUUAAAGACGAUAAGGUAGAUAGGUCAGGAGUGUAAGCAUGGUGACAUGUUAAGCGGACUGAUACUAAUAGGUCGAGGGCUUGACCGA